rnacentral:sRNA from 1 species
UUUUUAUUAUACUAAAUAUAUAAUCCAAGAUCAAGAAAAUUACAAUUUAUUUUUCAUUCUGUAUUUUAUCUAGUGUCCUUGGAUUUUUAUUCCCUCAUGAACUAAACCUUGCUUCCCAAAUGUACUGGAAGAAAUUACCAUUCAGUAAUUUCAAUACCAGAGUUACUAAAGAGAAGGAAAUGCUUUUGUGUCUGGAUAAUAAAUGCUGACCAUUUUGGUCUAAACGUUCAAUCAGAUGUGAAGUCUCUGAGAAGUGAUGCCUCAAGGUGAAGGUGCAUAAACUGUGCUCAUAAAUGAUGAGGUCAUAAGUCUAUCACCUACCCUUAUCGCUAGUUAUGCAGGCAUGGAGAUGUCAUUGACAACAGCUCUGGCUUGUCACUUUGUGGCAGGGAUUGAUUUCUGAAAACAUGACAGAAGAGACUAAUGGUUCAAGUGCAACUCAUUGGCUGCAAGGUUCCCCAGUAUGGGGCAUGUGCAAAUAGCAUAGGAUGAUAGACAAGAUCAGCAGCACCAAUGGGUUGGAGACAGCUCUAGCCCGAAUGUCCAACUGUAUAUGUGCUACAGAGGAAGAGCUAGAGAAGUUAUGGAGAUCUUUAACAGAUGCCAGAAAAAAGUUGGAUUAUACACACAAGGAACAACACCACCCAGGAGAAAGAGGCAGAAAAAUAUGAAUCUCAAGACCAUCCUAUGGAUUUCUCUGGACAGUCUGAAUCCAUAUCAGAGGAAAGGUGAUAUAUGUUCUGUGCUGUUGUAUGCUAGAACUUCAUAGGAAGAAAAGCAGUGUCAACUCACCAGACUCCCCAGAGUUCCCAAAGACUACGCCAAAAAACAAGGAGCCUCAUGGGCUCAUUUGUGGUCUCAGGGACAUGAGUCUCAGAGAUCUGCCUUGUAUGUACUCCUUGGGAAAGGAUGUGCUAAAUCCCGUUGAACUUUGAUGCCAAAAGGAAGAGGAUGCUUUCAUCACAAAUGCCGAUAUACUAUACACACAAGGAACAACAGAUCCCAGGAGGAAGUAUGAAUAAAUUUUCCAAUCCAUGAACACUCUCUAGAAGGGGUGAAUACUCCCGUUAGUCACCAACUUAACUUCUUCAUGUUCAAUGAGAUAGGUAAGUGUUGUUUCAUCAAUAUGGUUCUGUCAUCAGUUUUUCUAAAGCAACCAAUUAUGUGGGUAGGAAUGUAAGUUGUUUGGGAGCUUCUGUGUGAUCUCAGUCAUCAAAACUCAAAUAGAUGUAACCCAUACAUGACACUG